GAAACACUCAAAUCUUUACUUUUUUCAUCCAAAUUUUUCCUCAAAUCAGAUCUUUUACUAGCUAUCUGAAAAGGGUUCCCCUCAAAACUCUCACUUUUCCAAGUUUUCUUUGUAAUCCCAACAACCCCAUCAACAGAAACACUCAAACUUUUACAUUUUUCAUCCAAAUUUUUUCUCAAAUCUUUACAUUUUUCAUCCAAUUUUUUGCUCAAAUCAGAC
rnacentral:misc_RNA from 1 species